rnacentral:tRNA from 1 species
AGCUGCUUAGUGUUAUGUGGUGAGCAUACUGGGAAAGUCUCAGAGGGGCAGGUUCGAGUCCUGUAGCAGCA